UACAGAGGUGGCAAGCGUUGUUCGGAAUUACUGGGCGUAAAGGGCGCGUAGGCGGCCAUCUAAGUCAGACGUGAAAUCCCUGGGCUCAACCCAGGAACUGCGUCCGAUACUGGUUGGCUUGAAUCCGGGAGAGGGAUGUGGAAUUCCAGGUGUAGCGGUGAAAUGCGUAGAUAUCUGGAGGAACACCGGUGGCGAAGGCGACAUCCUGGACCGGUAUUGACGCUGAGGCGCGAAAGCCAGGGGAGCAAACGGG
rnacentral:rRNA from 1 species